CUCAAGCUAUCACUUACUGUUGAUUGUGAUGAAAUGCCAGGUGAGGCAUAAGCCCUGUGAGCUUAGAGUUGCUACACUUGACCACUGUGGCAGUCAAGAUGACUCUGAAGAAUGGCAUGGGAUGGAUCCUUUUGAAUGCACUUGAGCAGGGAACUCCAACCACAGGGUCACAGAGCCGGAGGUGAGCAACAGCUGGAUCUACCAUGAAAGACUUCAGAGUCCAGGAAGAGAGACUGACUGGGCAACAUGUUAUUCAGGAGAUGGCGUCUCACCCUGUCACCCAGGCUGGAGUGCAGUGGUGCCAUCACAGCUCACUGCAGCCUUGAACUGCUGGGCUAAGGAUCCUCCUGCCUCAUCCUCCCGAGUAGCUGGGACUGUAGGUAUACAUGAUGACACCUGGCUAAUUUUUAAAUUAUUUUGUAGACAUGGGGUCUCACUUUAUUGGUCAGGCUGGUGUCAAACUCUUGGCCUCAGGUGACCCUUCCAACUCUGCCUCCCAUCCUAGAGGUAUGAGCCACCACAACGAGCACUUGUUCAAUUUUCUAAAAAAAUAAAAAA